UUUUUUUUUUUUUUUUUUUUUUGAGACAGAGUCUCACUCUGUCACCCAGGCUGGAGUGCAGUGGCACAAUCUCGGCUCACCACAACCUCUGCUUCCCAUUUCAAGCAAUUCUGGUGCCUUAGCCUCCCAAAUAACUGGGAUUAUAGGCGUGCACCACCACACCUGGCUAAGUUUUGUAUUUUUAGUAGAGACAGGAUUUCAACAUAUUAGCAAGUCUAGUCUUGAACUCCUGACUUCAGGUGAUCUGUCCACCUCAGCCUCCAAAAGUGCUGGGAUUACAGGCGUGAGCCACCAUGCCUGGCCAGGCAUAAGUACAUUCUAUGAUGUUCACACAAUGACAAAAUUGCCUAACGACAUUUCUUAAAGUGUAUCCCUGUUGUUAAGCGACACAGGGCUACACUAUCUUCUCAGCCACUAAAGAUAUAUAAAAGUACGCUAAUCCUAAUAAUCUUUAAUCUGAGGGUACUGCUUAACAAAUCUCAAAGUUUCCAUAAACUAGCCAUCUCACUGCUUUAAAGUAAACAAAAUCUCCAUAUUCUGUUUCAAGUGUCUC
rnacentral:lncRNA from 10 species